CACCAGCCUCUCCUCAGUUCGUCAGCCUACAGCACAUGUUCUCAUCUGUUGUUUCACCUCCGCGGUGAACACAUGCUCAUCUACUCACCUGUCAGCCUGCCUGCAACCUUCCAGGCAUCACGCCGCCUUUGUCAUCCCCAAUCUUCCUCGUGUCUUCCUCGCUCACGCCUCGCCAGCCUCCGCCAUCACUCUGCCUCACCUGCUGCCGCCUCUCUCCUCAUCAUCGCUCCUCUCAUCCGUUUCCUGUUUGCCAUAAACAAACCUCUUUUUCACCAAACUCAUCAGCUGUCAGUGUCCUCUGCACCAGGAUCCCGCUUGUAUUCUCAACAAGAUCUCUGCUCGUGCAACAAAGCAGCGUUUUUCUCCUCACGUUUGGAUCCUCUGGGGUGGAAAGGAUUCUGGUCAAGAUUAACAUUAGCAAGCACCAACUUCUGCAGAUGAGAGAGCUGCCAAACCAGUGACUUCAACAUUUGUAAGCGUGACACUGCCGGAUAUUUUUUGAGGAGAUCUCUGGGACGCUCUUCAGCCGGGCUCGUGGCCACAGAAGUGGAUAUUUUUAACAAGAUGUCCAAACGUCUCAAGCUGCGUUUGUGGCAACAAACUUUACAGAUAUCUUCAGCCAAAAGAAGAUAUUCUCCUCUCCAUGCCCAAGUGUUUUUUAAAUUAUUAUUAUUAUUAUUUUUUAUGCGGAUCAGACCAUAAGCACAGCAUCGUCCCAACAUAAAAUAGAAAACUGGACCUAAAGAAAUUCAGAUUUCCAGCGUUCAGACUCUGUGGUUUGCAGAAAAAGUUGCACUGACAUUUAUUCUGGUGAUUGGUUUUGGGAUUUCCGUCUCUCAAAUAUCCUCGCGCUGAAUGAAAUCGAGGCAGCAAUGAUGUUUCUUAUUUUGCUCAACAGAUUCAGCGUAUAUGUGGAAAUUUGCUGUUGACAUGGUUGCUUAAGUUAAAUGUUGUUGUGCUGAAAAGCGUCGCGCUCUCUCUGCCGUCGCUCCCAAAGCCUCCGAAAGAAAAUGAGAAAAGUUUCUGGAGAAACAAAGCAAAGUUUUGACCUGAAUUUAUGGUUUCAAUUGCUGCAAUUUCACUUUCACUCGGAUGUGUGUCUGGUGGCGAUUCUAAAAAUGAUUGUUCCAUUAAAAACGCAUUAAAGUUUAAACUGGUGUGUGUGUGUUUCGGGGGCGCCUGUGCUUUGAUUGACAGUUAUCU